rnacentral:lncRNA from 1 species
AUUGCCUUGCUAUUGUCAGCAUGCUGUCAUUUGCACAAUCUUGUCAAUAAUGGCAGACAAAAUAAGGCCCCUGUUAGGAUAAGCUCAAAUUAAUCGCAAAUCAAUCACAAAUAAUAUAAAUGGACCAAUGUGCAGCUAAGUAAGGAUCUCUCCAUUUUUCCUUUUAGCGUUCUAUUGUUUUUAUCUUUGCCGACAGAUAAUCAAUGGCCCUUGAAACUUUCGGUAUCGUCAGUAUUUCCUUUUCCUACUAGAACACUGUUUGCAGCUAGAAAUUAGUCUAAAUUCGCGGUGAUAAAUUCAAAAUUAGCUUGCCACAACUCAAGGGCAGUCAAAUAUCCAGUACUAGCUAGCUGCUGAUAGAAAUCAUUACAGAAGGUACUGUUAGUGGAGAAAAUUGCGAGCUGUGACUAUCUACAAUGGUAAUGAUAAUUACUUACAGUGCUAACCACGUUUAUUUAAGCGAUUAACGCACUUUGAUGUGAUAGUCAACGAACUUGACGUACUAUACUUUUGUCUUGAGUGCGAAAUCAAAUGUGACGCAGUGAAAAAACAGUUAGCCAAUCGCUGCAAACCUCAGGAGAAUUUCAACCAGCGAAUUCUCCUGUAGUGUCUAUUCAUACAUGUUCACCUUCACAUCAAUAGUAACCAUCUAGAUUAAUCUUCAAUAAUAUCAUUGCACCGGCCAUGUUUUGUUAAACAUCUCUUAUAUGGUCAUCACAUGAAUAUCUAAGAUGAAGUCAAAAGUUAUUCUGAUAUUCUUCAGUUCCGACAAGUGAUAACAUUGAUGACUUGAGGCAGAUAUUCUAAAAUGCAUGUAGACCAUCAUGUAUAUAGAAAUUUAGAGUGACCAGAGCAUAUAAGAUUUAUUAACUUGUGAUACUCAGAUGGUGGGUUGGUGGCCUACUUAUGAUAAUAGGGCUGGUCACCAUCAGAAAUCCAAGCUGCAUUGAAAAGAUUAAUUAUUGCAUCAAGUGUCUUCAUAAGCAUCAUUACAUAAACUUAUUUUUUGGAACAUCGAGUAGGAAUUCUAUUCAGGUUAGACAAAUUAACAGUCCAAUGUUAAGUAUGCACUACAAUACUGUACUGUCGACUGAAGCGUACAUGAGCCGACCUUUGCAGGUUCAUGUUGCCAUGCACGGACAAUCAAGAACAUUUGCAAUCAAUUUCCAUGGCAAGGUACAAAUGUUCAAUGAGCAAUGAUUGAUAAAGAACACUUACCCCUCCAAAAUGAAGGGUAUGGCCGUGGCUCUCAUGGCCUGAAAGUUGCUGACGGAAUUAGCUGCAUAAACAGAGACACUCGGGUUAGUUAUUCACGCUAUGAAAUUAAAGUU